rnacentral:rRNA from 1 species
UACGGGGGGGGUAAGCGUUAUUCGGAUUCACUGGGCGUAAAGGGUGCGCAGGCGGUCGGGUGUGUCAGAUGUGAAAUCCCGAGGCUCAACCUCGGAACUGCGUCUGAAACUACUCGACUAGAGUACUGGAGAGGGUAACGGAAUUCACGGUGUAGCAGUGAAAUGCGUAGAUAUCGUGAGGAACACCAGAGGCGAAGGCGGUUACCUGGACAGUUACUGACGCUCAGGCACGAAAGCAUGGGGAGCAAAAGGG